rnacentral:sRNA from 1 species
AGCCCUUUAGCAGUAUUUUGUGCUGGCAAAUCUGCAGGGAAGUAUUACUACUUUAGAGGGAGGGGUUAUUGCGUCGAGUCAAAACAAAGGGAUAAAAAAAGCGCCCGUAGGCGCUUUUUAUG